AGGGCACCACCAGGAGUGGAGCCUGCGGCUUAAUUUGACUCAACACGGGAAAACUCACCCGGCCCGGACACCGUAAGGAUUGACAGACUGAUAGCUCUUUCUUAAUUCGGUGGGUGGUGGUGCAUGGCCGUUCUUAGUUGGUGGAGCGAUUUGUCUGGUUAAUUCCGAUAACGAACGAGACUCUGGCCUAUUAAAUAGUAGAGUCAUCUCCGUAAGUGAUUCUUACUUCUUAGAGGGACAAGCGGCGUCUAGCCGCAUGAAAUAGAGCAAUAACAGGUCUGUGAUGCCCUUAGAUGUCCGGGGCUGCACGCGCGCUACACUGAAAGAAUCAGUGUGCGUCCAGAACCUAGUCCGGAAGGACCGGGUAACCCCAGUAAAUUCUUUCGUGCUUGGGAUAGGGAAUUGAAAUUAUUUCCCUUAAACGAGGAAUUCCCAGUAAAUGCGGGUCAUAAGCUCGCGUUGAUUACGUCCCUGCCCUUUGUACACACCGCCCGUCGCUACUACCGAUUGGAUGACUCA
rnacentral:rRNA from 1 species